AGCGGCGAGCGAAGCGGGAAGAGCUCAAAUUUAUAAUCUGGCACCUUCGGUGUCCGAGUUGUAAUCUCUAGAAAUGUUUUCCGCGUUGGACCGCACACAAGUCUGUUGGAAUACAGCGGCAUAGUGGUGAGACCCCCGUAUAUGGUGCGGACGCCCAGCGCUUUGUGAUACAUUUUCGAAGAGUCGAGUUGUUUGGGAAUGCAGCUCAAAUUGGGUGGUAAAUUCCAUCUAAAGCUAAAUAUUGGCGAGAGACCGAUAGCGAACAAGUACCGUGAGGGAAAGAUGAAAAGCACUUUGGAAAGAGAGUUAACAGUACGUGAAAUUGUUGGAAGGGAAACGCUUGAAGUCAGACUUGCUUGCCGAGCAAUCGGUUUGCAGGCCAGCAUCAGUUUUCCGGGAUGGAUAAUGGUAGAGAGAAGGUAGCAGUUUCGGCUGUGUUAUAGCUCUCUGCUGGAUACAUCUUGGGGGACUGAGGAACGCAGUGUGCCUUUGGCGGGGGUUUCGACCUCUUCACACUUAGGAUGCUGGUGGAAUGGCUUUAAACGGUCCGUCUUGAAACACGGACCAUUU
rnacentral:rRNA from 1 species